GAUGCAGGUCUUGCAAAGGGCCAUCCACUAUCUACAUAUCUAAUUAUGAGAAACAUUUAUUAUGUGCUAGGGCACAAAGUGAGUGAGAAAGAGCACCCUCCUUACAGUCUAACAGCAAGAGAUGGUAAAAGGCAAAAGCUUUAUAACAUUAUUAAAGUGUUGAUUUCCUUUUGAAAUCUGCACUUUUUAUACAGUAAGAAAGAAGGGAGUCUGUUGCCCUGCAAUGUGCUUUAAAGGAACACUACUAUAGUGUUAGGAAUACAAACAGUAUGUAUUUAACAGUAUAGUCAUGAACUACAUUUUUAAGUGACCCUACCAGAACGUAGAUAAAAGGUAGUUUUACUUAUCUUUUCUCCGUUGCUGAGGUGGCCUCACCUCCAUGUCUGAGACUAUCAAUCUUGAGUCAUUGCAGGAUCUAACCAGGAAGGCUUUUUAAUAGAUGAGAUGUCAGCCACUAGAGGUGUUACUAGGUUGCAAGGUAAAUUAAAGGCAGCUUUUACAUUUCUGUGCCUGCAGGGACAUGCUAUAUACACCAGAACCACUACAUUAAGCUGCCCCCCUACUUAGCUCAACAAAGAACUACAUUUUUUGCCUCAUAAUUCCACUUUAUACAUGGAUUCCUUGGAGUAUGUAUCUGCUGUAUACAACAGCUUUAAAACACAACUCAGGAAGAGGAGCAAAGGGUUUUCAUCCACACUUUUUUCCCCACCACAACUCUCUUGGUAUGUACAUUACAAGUAAUGCCAAGUCUCCAUAGCAAGCCAGUAACCAACUUCAUGCUGAUGAGUUGCAUUAACAACGAAAUAGCUGUCCAUGAGUGGUUCACUGGCUUUGCUCCUCUUCCUGAAUUGUGUUUCAAAGCUGUUGUAUACAGAAGACACAUACUCCAAGGAAUCCAUGUAUAAGGUAAAAUUAUGAGGCAAAAAUGUGGUUAGUUGUUGAACUUAUUUGCAUACGUCUACCCAGAAUCCCUUGCAG